rnacentral:rRNA from 1 species
GACAGAGGAUGCAAGCGUUAUCCGGAAUGAUUGGGCGUAAAGCGUCUGUAGGUGGCUUUUAAGUCCGCCGUCAAAUCCCAGGCUCAACCCUGGACAGGCGGUGGAAACUACCAAGCUGGAGUACGGUAGGCAGAGGAAUUUCCGGUGGAGCGGUGAAAUGCGUAGAGAUCGGAAAGAACACCAACGGCGAAAGCACUCUGCUGGCCGACACUGACACUGAGAGACGAAAGCUAGGGAGCGAAUGGG